UUCAAGAAGAUAUAAGAGUCAUAGGAUCGAUACUCUCGAUCGAUCUAACCUUAGAAAGAAAAACAAACGAGAAAAUAAAAAAGAAAAAGAAAGAAAAAAAAACAACGAUAGCUCACAAUUUUCUUCUUAAUAGAUCGAUCAAUUCAAAUAAUCAAAUCAAAGUUCAAGACGAAGAAGUAUAUCGUGAUUGAUACGAAGUGAGCGGCACGUGUGUGGAUGAAAAAAAAAUUCUUGGAGUUUCGAUUAUCGAAUGAUCAUGCGAGAGAAGAAGAAAAGAAAAGAAAAGAAUAUGUAUUUCCGAAAGAGUUAAAGGCUGAUCGUUCUUUCUUAUCUUGAAGGUCAAGUAAGGCAAAAUACAUAACAACGAAUUGAUCUCUCUAUUUGUUUUCUUUCAUUAUUUGUGUUAUAUUUAUUCAUUUUUCAUCUCAUACUUGCCAUGUUAAUCGAUUAACAAUAAUACAUUGUUACCUUGAUCUUCACGUAAGAAUGAGUACCAAGAUUGUUAUCGACGAGGCAUGGCGGUGGUUUGUCCCUUUGUUCCAGUACGAAAAACUUUUUUGGAUUCCAGGCCCAUUUCAAGAGUCUUUUUACUAUCAUAUAGAGACCAUAUACGAAGGAUAAAAAGUGUAAUUUGAUUAUUUCCCACGUUGAUAUGUGUACGAUUCUAUCGGUGAUCAUGAUGGCCAUGAAGAAAAAAGAAC